rnacentral:rRNA from 1 species
AUUGAACGCUGGCGGCAUGCCUUACACAUGCAAGUCGAACGGUAACAGGCCGCAAGGUGCUGACGAGUGGCGAACGGGUGAGUAAUGCAUCGGAACGUGCCCAGUCGUGGGGGAUAACUGCUCGAAAGAGCAGCUAAUACCGCAUACGACCUGAGGGUGAAAGCGGGGGACCGUAAUGCCUCGCGCGAUUGGAACGGCCGAUGUCAGAUUAGCUAGUUGGUGGGGUAAAGGCCUACCAAGGCAACGAUCUGUAGUUGGUCUGAGAGGACGACCAGCCACACUGGGACUGAGACACGGCCCAGACUCCUACGGGAGGCAGCAGUGGGGAAUUUUGGACAAUGGGCGCAAGCCUGAUCCAGCAAUGCCGCGUGCAGGAAGAAGGCCUUCGGGUUGUAAACUGCUUUUGUCAGGGAGGAAAUCUUCUGGGCUAAUACCCCGGGAGGAUGACGGUACCUGAAGAAUAAGCACCGGCUAACUACGUGCCAGCCGCCGCCGUAACAC